AAAACCCCUGUUCUAAGAUAUACAAAGCCAAAUUUGGAAACAAAUUUUCCCACUGCAAGGUGAAAAAGCUCAGCGCUUUAGCAGUAAUAAGGGCGCCCGGAACUGAAGCAGAAAUGGGAGUUGUGUUCAAGAGCACAACUCCUCUUGCAGAUCUCCCACAGAAUAAUGAAGUGGUUCAAACCUUAGUAGAAGCUGUAAAUAAUACCAACAGUAUCUUCGACGUGAGCAUAAGUCCUGAUUCAGUCAAAGUUGAAUCAAGUCCAGUCUCAGCUAUAACUACAGCACCUACAACUGCUAAACCUAAAACGGCAGCACCUACAACUGCUAAACCUAAAACUGCAGCACCU